rnacentral:rRNA from 1 species
CGGGAGCAAUCCUGGUGGCGAGUGGCGAACGGGUGAGUAAUGUAUCGGAACGUACCUUUCAGUGGGGGAUAACGUAGCGAAAGUUACGCUAAUACCGCAUAUUCUGUGAGCAGGAAAGCAGGGGAUCGCAAGACCUUGCGCUGAUUGAGCGGCCGAUAUCAGAUUAGCUAGUUGGUGAGGUAAAGGCUCACCAAGGCGACGAUCUGUAGCGGGUCUGAGAGGAUGAUCCGCCACACUGGAACUGAGACACGGUCCAGACUCCUACGGGAGGCAGCAGUGGGGAAUUUUGGACAAUGGGGGCAACCCUGAUCCAGCCAUGCCGCGUGAGUGAAGAAGGCCUUCGGGUUGUAAAGCUCUUUCAGCCGGGAAGAAAUCACAUGGGUUAAUACCCUGUGUGGAUGACGGUACCGGAAUAAGAAGCACCGGCUAACUACGUGCCAGCAGCCGCGGUAAUACGUAGGGUGCGAGCGUUAAUCGGAAUUACUGGGCGUAAAGCGUGCGCAGGCGGUUUGUUAAGAUAGGCGUGAAAUCCCCGGGCUCAACCUGGGAACUGCGUUUAUGACUGGCAGGCUAGAGUAUGGCAGAGGGGGGUGGAAUUCCACGUGUAGCAGUGAAAUGCGUAGAGAUGUGGAGGAACACCGAUGGCGAAGGCAGCCCCCUGGGCCAAUACUGACGCUCAUGCACGAAAGCGUGGGUAGCAAACAGGAUUAGAUACCCUGGUAGUCCACGCCCUAAACGAUGUCAACUGGUUGUUGGGGGAGUGAAAUCCCUUAGUAACGAAGCUAACGCGUGAAGUUGACCGCCUGGGGAG